rnacentral:rRNA from 1 species
UACAGAGGGUGCAAGCGUUGUUCGGAAUUAUUGGGCGUAAAGGGCGCGUAGGCGGCGCGGUAAGUCACCUGUGAAAUCUCCAAGCUUAACUUGGAGCCUGCAGGCGAAACUGCCGUGCUGGAGUAUGGGAGAGGUGCGUGGAAUUACGGGUGUAGCGGUGAAAUGCGUAGAUAUCCGUAGGAACAUCCGAGGCGAAAGCGGCUCGCUGGAUCACAACUGACGCUGAGAGACGAAAGCUAGGGGAGCAAACAG